rnacentral:rRNA from 1 species
AGCAGCCGCGGUAAUUCCAGCUCCAAUAGCGUAUAUUAAAGUUGUUGCAGUUAAAAAGCUCGUAGUUGAAUUUCGGGAUCAAGGAAUCGGUCAUGCCUUGGUAUGUACUGGUUUUAUUGGUUCUCACCUUCUAAAGAACCAUAAUGUCAUUUAUUUGAUGUUAUGGGGAAUUAGGACUGUUACCUUGAAAAAUUAGAGUGUUUAAAGCAAGCUUACGCUUGAAUACAUUAGCAUGGAAUAAUGAAAUAGGACAUCAGAUUCUAUUUUGUUGGUUUUUAGGAUUCGAUGUAAUGAUUAAUAGGGAUAGUCGGGGCAUUAGUAUUCAAUUGUCAGAGGUGAAAUUCUUGGAUUUAUUGAAGACUAACUACUGCGAAAGCAUUUGCCAAGGAUGUUUUCAUUAAUCAAGAACGAAGUUAGGGGAUCGGAGACGAUCAGAUACCGUCGUAGUCUUAACCAUAAACU